UUUUUUCAAAUACUUACUUCCUCUCUUUCUUCCUGAAACUACUAUUGCAUGAAUGCUAAUUGUGUUCUAUUGACCUGCAGAUACUAAAUGCUCUGCUCUUUUUUCCCCUUUAUAUUCCAAUUUGUUUAUUUUCCUGUUGUCCUGGCUUCAGGUGAACUGAUCUUUUCCUUUCUGCCCAGUUGUUAAGCCUAUUUACUUAAUUCUUCAUUUUUGGUAACCUAUUUUACAUUUCUAUCAUUCUGUUUUAGUUCUUUUUCAGAGUAUACAUUUCUCCACUAAAAUUUCCUAUUUAUUACACAUGUGGCCCAUAUUUUCCACUAGGUUACCAAGUAUUUUAUUCUAAGUUUUCUAUAGUCCCUCUCUGAUCAUUCCAACAUCUCUAUACUGCCAUGAUUCCAGAGAUAUCUUUGUGUUUUCCAGCAAAGUCACCAGCUUUCUCAACCAUGGGAAUUCUGUCUCUAGUCUAUAGUUCCACUGCAAUUUUUUUGGAUACUACUUUUUGCAUCAUAGGCAGUCUCUCUGUGCCCUCUCACUCUGCCUUUAACAUUAGGAGGUUAGCUGCAUUGUACCCUGUGAAGCUUGAAAUGCCUCGGAGAGAUUUCUCUCAGCUCCUCUUACCUCCAGCCUUCUGAAGUUGCCUGCCUUAAGUUUUAGGAUAUCUCAGGUACCUGGGAAGGAUCUCUCUCAGCUCUGCUGGCAGCCUUUAGGGUAUUACUUGUGGAGACCUGCGGGAAAGAGUUAUUGGGAAAACAGCCUGUUCAUUUCAUGGAAGGACGUUUUGGAAAAAUAGAUCCAGACCUACAUAGAAAGGUAUGACAGCUACCUUAAUUCAUCCAUCAAGACCUUUCUUCUUAAUUGUGAAUUACCAACUAUAGAUCAUCAGAGAAUUUAAGAAAAUCGACAAACUAAAUGCAAAGAAACAAGCUAAUGAAAUAGAACAAAUGACUAAAGGAAACAGAAGUAAUUCAAUGAACAUAAGAAAACUUAAAAAAUAUUCUAAUUACAUUCUCAGAAAGAUUUGAGUGCACACUACAUACAUUAGAAGAGAAAAAUAAAGGAAAAUCAGACUGCUAUGAAAACCAAGUUUCCCACUUCAUGCUAAAAAGUGGUAACAUUGCAUGUCAGACUGAAGAAAGACACCUGAGUCUAUGUUGAGUUGUGUUUGGCCCCUUGCAAGGUUGUCAUAAAUGAUUCAUUGUUUUGGCUUAAGGGGCUUUCAGCUGGAUGACAAAGCAUAAGGACAAAAAAUAUGAAAUUUGUCAUUAAAUGUCUUCAUCAUUUAGCCUGUUUAAUUGUGCUAAGAUCUUUUAAGAAACAAUGAAUACAGAGAUUUCCAGAUUAUACUUCCAUGAAAGCCUAAAUCUUCUCAGGUAUUCACAGUUUAAAAAAAUUGAAGUAUACCAAAUGAUAUCCAAGUUUACUGUGAAAGCAAAUGGCCCAUAAAAUUUUGCAUUUACAUUUGAAUUUUAAUCUAGAGAGAAGGAGACCACAUAAGUAAAACACAAUCUAUCUCAUAGGCUGAAGCGUCAGGUAUUACAAAUGUAUGUGGUUAGCUUCUCUUUAUUUAGUUCUCAUUGAUUUAGGUACUAAUUCUACCCAUUCUUUGCUUUAAUCAUUUAGUAUUAAGAAAUAUUGACUUUCAUCAGAGCUUAAUAUACAACUGGCUCCAAAUCUAGAAAAUCAAUUUAAAUUCUUUAUAGUAGUAUGUAAUUGGUUAAUUCAGUCAUUUUUAAAACAAUAUAUUUGUUUAAAAAUAUUUAUUUUGCUAACCAGCUACCAGACAUUGUUCUAGGUAAUUCUUACAGAAGUGCGUAAGACAGAUAGUGUGGCUUCCCACAUAGGGCAUAUAGAUUACAAAGAGAAGACAUAGCUAAAGAAUUAAACCAAUAAUAAAAACAUCAAAUUCUCUGAAAAAAA
rnacentral:lncRNA from 1 species